rnacentral:rRNA from 1 species
UACAGAGGUCUCAAGCGUUGUUCGGAUUCAUUGGGCGUAAAGGGUGCGUGGGCGGCGCGGUAAGUCGGGUGUGAAAUCUCGGAGCUUAACUCCGAAACUGCAUUCGAUACUGCCGUGCUUGAGGACUGGAGAGGAGACUGGAAUUUACGGUGUAGCGGUGAAAUGCGUAGAUAUCGUAAGGAAGACCAGUGGCGAAGGCGGGUCUCUGGGCAGUUCCUGACGCUGAGGCACGAAGGCCAGGGGAGCAAACGGGAUUAGAACCGU